CACUCUGGACCCGUGGGAAGUACAGACCAAUAUUACUCUGGAUUCUGAAAGUGGACUGUACAGCGUCUGGAGCCAAGUGAAUAUAACAGAACAUCAGACGGUGACCUGCCAUAUCUUCAACCCCGUUCUGAGAGAGACUGUGAGCAACACAACCAUCGUCAGCCCCAGCAUUAACACAGACCCUGCAGGUGUGGUUCAGGAAGACUUUACUCCCAUCAUUAUCACAAUAGUACUGAUCAUUCUAGUAUUGAUUCUGUUUUCCAUCGGGGGUUAUUUUGUGUACAAAAAACGUUGUGGAGCCAGCGGUGGAACCAUAAAAGUUGAAGGAAAUAACCAACAAAGAAAUGGUCAUGUUGAGACGGAGCUUUUGGACAGGUGUAGCCGGGAACCAGACAAUCUAGGGGCAGACUGAUGGGACAUUUCUUUAUAUACAGGUCCAUAAAUUGGACAUAUCGGUGUACUGUAUCCCAACGAAAUCUACCUCUUCUAAUUGGAAGUAUUUGCAUGUUUUUUCAAAUAUUUUCUUAUUAAUAGCCAGCUAUUAGAAAAGCGUUAGAACGUCUACAGUAGAAUAAUGAUAAAUAAUGUGUCUGGAAAUGUUCUACUGUAGAAGUUCUAAAUCAUGGGAGUAUUUAAAAAAUACAUUACAAUUUUAAAGUACUUCUUUAUUCAAAUAAAAAAAAUCCUAAUAUUUUCUCACAAAUGUUUUGGAAAGUACUUGAAAGGCCCUACAGUAAAUAGUUUACCGUGAAUGCAGGAACGAUGCAUUUAAUUUCCACUAAUGCGGAUCUUCAGUGGUCCAGAUUGAAUCCAGGCCUAAAACCAUGUAAACCUCAACACACUGGUACAGUUGUGAACUCUCAGACUGACUUAGGAGGAGACUCUGCUAAACAGACCUCACUGUGUUCAACAUUAGGGACAGCUGCUACAGAUCUGUAACCAGAUUUAGAUUACAUUUAGAUUUAGAUUACAUUUAGAUUUAGAUUACAUUUACAUUUAGAUUACAUUUACAUUUAGAUUACAUUUAAAUGUUGUCUUUAAUAAAUAUUGUUGUGAAUAUUCAAAAAGGUUAAUGUAUUAUAUUUAUUUAAAUGUCAAACUUUUUAUUCUGGUGUUUUCCUAUACUGUAGGUGUAUUGAAAUUUGGCCUUAUUUGGGGAAAUUGUCUUUGAAACUCGUUUGAAGAAAUAUCCUAAUUGUGGCCUAGAUGUGUCCUAGAUGUGGCCUAGAUGUGGCCUAGAUGUGUCCUAGAUGUGGCCUAGAUGUGUCCUAGAU